rnacentral:rRNA from 1 species
AUUGAACGCUGGCGGCAGGCCUAACACAUGCAAGUCGAACGGUAACAGGAAGCAGCUUGCUGCUUUGCUGACGAGUGGCGGACGGGUGAGUAAUGUCUGGGAAACUGCCUGAUGGAGGGGGAUAACUACUGGAAACGGUAGCUAAUACCGCAUAACGUCGCAAGACCAAAGAGGGGGACCUUCGGGCCUCUUGCCAUCGGAUGUGCCCAGAUGGGAUUAGCUAGUAGGUGGGGUAACGGCUCACCUAGGCGACGAUCCCUAGCUGGUCUGAGAGGAUGACCCGCCACACGGGACCUGAGCCACGGCCCAGCCCCCUACGGGAGGCAGCAGUGGGGAAUAUUGCCAAAGGGGCGAAAGCCUGAUGCAGCCAUGCCGGGGGUAUGAAGAAGGCCUUCGGGUUGUAAAGUACUUUCGGCGGGGAGGAAGGGAUUAAAGUUAAUACCUUUCCUCAUUGACGUUACCCGCAGAAGAAGCCCCGGCAACCCCCGU